rnacentral:tRNA from 1 species
AUUUUUGUAGUGUAAAAACACCUAACAUUUUCAUUGUUAAAAUGCAUAUAUGCCAUAAAUA